rnacentral:SRP_RNA from 1 species
GCCGGAUGCGGUGGUGCACGCCUGUAGUCCCAGCUACUCGGGAGGCUGAGAUGGGAGGAUCGCUUGAGCCCAGGAGUUCGAUCGGGUGUCCGCACUAAGUUCGCCAUCAAUAUGGUGACCUCCCGGGUGUCCGCACUAAGUUCGCCAUCAAUAUGGUGAGCUCUCGGGAGCGGGGAACCACCAGUUUGCCUAAGGAGGGGUGAACCGGCCCAGGUCGGAAACGGAGCAGGUCAAAACUCCCGUGCUGAUCAGUAGUGGGAUCGCACCUGUGAAUAGCCACUGCACUCCACCCUGGGCAACAUAGCAAGACACAGUCUCU